rnacentral:rRNA from 1 species
GAUGAACGCUGGCGGCGUGCCUAAUACAUGCAAGUCGAGCGAAAAGACGAGGAGCUUGCUCCUCUGACGUUAGCGGAGGACGGGUGAGUAACACGUGGAUCACCUACCUAUAAGACUGGGAUAACUUCGGGACACCGGAGCUAAUACCGGAUAAUAUCUUGAACCGCAUGGUUCAAUAGUGAAAGACGGUUUUGCUGUAACUUAUAGAUGGAUCCGCGCCGCAUUAUCUAGUUGGUAGUGUAACGGCUUUCCGAGGCAACGGUGCGUAGCCGACGUGGGGGGGGGAUGGGCCACUGGGGGAGUGAGAGGCGAGCCAGGCACCGACGGGAGGCAGCAGCUGGGAAUCUACCGAAAGGGGCGAAAGCCUGACGGAGGGACGCCGCGUGAGUGAUGAAGGUCUGCGGAUCGUAAAACGCUGUUAUGAGGGAAAAACAAAUGUGUAAGUAACUAUGCACGUCUGGACGGUACCUAUACAGAAAGCCACGGCAAACUACGG